CACGGGGGGAGCAAGCGUUGUUCGGAAUCACUGGGCGUAAAGGGCUCGUAGGCGGCCAACUAAGUCAGACGUGAAAUCCCUCGGCUUAACCGGGGAACUGCGUCUGAUACUGGAUGGCUUGAGGUUGGGAGAGGGAUGCGGAAUUCCAGGUGUAGCGGUGAAAUGCGUAGAUAUCUGGAGGAACACCGGUGGCGAAGGCGGCAUCCUGGACCAAUUCUGACGCUGAGGAGCGAAAGCCAGGGGAGCAAACGGG
rnacentral:rRNA from 1 species